rnacentral:rRNA from 1 species
UACGUAGGGGUCUAGCGUUGUCCGGAAUUAUUGGGCGUAAAGAGCUCGUAGGCGGUUCGGCAAGUCGGAUGUGAAAUCUCCACGCUUAACGUGGAGGGGCCAUUCGAAACUGCCGUGACUCGAGUCCGGUAGGGGAGUGCGGAAUUCCCGGUGUAGCGGUGAAAUGCGCAGAUAUCAGGAGGAACACCUAUUGCGAAGGCAGCUCGCUGGGACGUAACUGACGCUGAGGCGCGAAAGCCAGGGGAGCAAACGGGG